rnacentral:sRNA from 1 species
AGCCCUCCGAAGAGGACCAGAACGAACACCACUGGCAGUACUUCAGAGUUGGUGUUGACCCCGAUCAAGACCCACCACCCAACAAUGACAGCUUUCAAGUCUUACAAGGGGACGGCCCAGAUUCUGCCAGAGGAAACCGGACAAAACAGGAGAGCGCAUGGAUAUUCAGGCUGUGGUACAGCUUUGAUCACAAUUACCUGAAGCCCAUCCUCACACACAGCGGUCCCCCACUAACCACCACGCUCCCCGCCUGGUGUGGCUUACUAGCUCGAUGUCUGACCAGUCCCCAGGUGUAUGAUAACCAAGAGCCACUGAGAGAGGAAGACUCUGAUUUCAUCCUGACUGAAGGCGACCUGACAUUGACCUACGGGGACAGCACAGUGACUGCAAAUGGCUCCUCAAGUUCGCACACCGCCUCCACAAGUCUGGAGGGCAGCCGGAGAACGAAGAGCAGCUCGGAGGAAGUGCUGGAGCGAGACCUGGGAAUGGGGGACCAGAAGGUUUCGAGCCGGGGCACCCGCCUAGUGUUUCCUCUGGAAGAUAAUGCUUGACUUUCCCCCCAAGCCCUGGCGCGAUGGGGUAGGCUCCCGAUGGGACUGAAGAUUUGAAAAUACAUCCAUGAACAUUUCAACAUGGAACGAAGAAUUAUAGUUCCUUCUCUGGCUAUAUCCAUAAAGAAGUAGUUAUGAAACGUUUAAAACCAAA